ACACAUUACAAAACGGUAGCCAAUUUGUCCAAACGUCUGAAAACGUCUAAAAUCCUAAAGACGCUAAUUUCCGACGUUACAUGUGCUAAAGUUUCAAUUAAAUGUUCAUGAUAAUUAAAAACAAAUCGUGUUAUAAAAUUUGGAAAAAGAGGUUGAUGAUUGCUGCCGAAAAAAAAAGAAUAGUGCAUGUUGCUAUAGACUCCGCCCGGGGACAUAGGUUCGACACAGGUUAAAUUUUGCAAUUUUUAUUAAUCGUUUAUAGCUUUAACGAUUUAUUUAAAAGAAUUGGGAAAUGGGGAAAACAUCCCAUUACAUGAACUUCGUCCAACUUUUGCAAAGACAAAUUGGAGACACCAAGACAGUCCUCUAAAUGUAAAAUGCGAAU
rnacentral:lncRNA from 1 species